UGGGAAAAAACCAAGCAAGGAAAAAGAGUACUACUAACUUGGGAAAGCCAACUGGCUAUUGAUUACAAAUAUCACAAAUCAACCAUAUUUUUAUUCCUAAAUCCCAAGCAUGGCAAUCUUCAAUGUUAUCAAUCAACAGCAAGCUUCCAUGAUGCCAAGCAACAGCAAUAUAGCUCCCAGCAAGGAAAGUCAUUCAAGAAACAGCAACAACACUCUCCAAAAUGCACACCAGGAGCUGCAAUUUCAACUUUACAGCAACAACAGCACACAAAAACAGCUACCACAGAAUCACGCAUAUAUACCAGGAAAACAGCAAAACGGUCAAAUGAACAACAGCAACAACAACAGCGUUGGGACCCAAUAACAACAACAGCACCCUAACAGCGUUGAUAACAGCAACUACGGCACACCAUGACCUGCACUUUCAAGUUUACAGCGACAAACAAAACACAUAAACAGCUACAAACGCAUCACAAAUAUAUAACAGCCAAUCCGCCAAGUGAACAACAACAACAACAGCGACUCAAUUACAGCAGCAGCACCCUCACGGCGGGCUCUCCAACAUCACAGCAACACUUUAGUCCAUGAACAAGUUUCCAAUGUCGGAAAAUUUAAACGUGUCAUAUUCUGUCAAACCAGCAACAGCGCAACAGAGAAAACAGCAAUAAAUAACAGCAACAACAGCUUCCAAAUUCGAGCAGAAACAGAAGCGACAGCAACAGACACCGAC
rnacentral:lncRNA from 1 species